AGCGAACGCUGGCGGCAGGCCUAACACAUGCAAGUCGAACGAAGUCUUCGGACUUAGUGGCGGACGGGUGAGUAACACGUGGGAACGUACCUUUUGGUUCGGAACAACUCAGGGAAACUUGAGCUAAUACCGGAUGAGCCCUUAGGGGGAAAGAUUUAUCGCCGAAAGAGCGGCCCGCGUUAGAUUAGCUAGUUGGUGAGGUAAAGGCUCACCAAGGAUACGACCUAUAGCUGGUCUGAGAGGAUGAUCAGCCACACUGGGACUGAGACACGGCCCAGACUCCUACGGGAGGCAGCAGUGGGGAAUCUUGCGCAAUGGGCGAAAGCCUGACGCAGCCAUGCCGCGUGAAUGAUGAAGGUCUUAGGAUUGUAAAAUUCUUUUACCAGGGACGAUAAUGACGGUACCUGGAGAAAAAGCCCCGGCUAACUUCGUGCCAGCAGCCGCAGUAAAAC
rnacentral:rRNA from 1 species